rnacentral:rRNA from 1 species
GACAGAGGGUGCAAACGUUGCUCGGAAUCACUGGGCGUAAAGGGCGCGUAGGCGGGAAUGUAAGUCGGGCGUGAAAUCCCUAGGCUCAACCUAGGAACUGCACUCGAAACUGCGUUUCUUGAGUAUCGGAGAGGAAAGCGGAAUUCCUGGUGUAGAGGUGAAAUUCGUAGAUAUCAGGAGGAACACCAGUGGCGAAGGCGGCUUUCUGGACGGUAGCUGACGCUGAAGCGCGACAGCGUGGGGAGCAAACAGG